CCUAAACGGCCGCGGCACUAAAACCGUGCAAAGGUAGCACAAUCACUUGUCCAUUAAAUGAGGACCCGUAUGAAAGGCAACAUGAGAGAAAACCUGUCUCCUAAGGCUAGCCAAUGAAAUUGUACUACCAGUACAAAAACUGGUAUAUCAAAGCAAGACAAAAAGACCCUGUGGAACUUUUAACAAAUUAUUUAAACACAUAAAUAAUAGUUUCAGUUGGGACAACUUUAGAAAAAAUAAACUUCUUAAUUUACCAAGACAAACAAGUCUAAGACAACACAGACCCAGUAAUACUGAUUAACGAAACAAGCUACCCCAGGGAUAACAGCGCCACCUUCUCAAAGAGUCCAUAUCAACAAGAAGAUCUACGACCUCGAUGUUGGAUCAGGGUACCCAGACGGUGCAACAGCUGUCAAUGGUUCGUUUGUUCAACGAUUAAUACCC
rnacentral:rRNA from 1 species